GAUGAACGCUGGCGGCGUGCUUAACACAUGCAAGUCGAACGAUGAAGGAGAGCUUGCUCUCCGGAUUAGUGGCGAACGGGUGAGUAACACGUGACUAACCUGCCCCUUUCUCUGGGAUAACGCUCCGAAAGGAGUGCUAAUACCGGAUACGAACUCUGAACACAUGUUCGGAGUUGGAAAGUUUUUCGGAAAGGGAUGGAGUCGCGGCCUAUCAGCUUGUUGGUGAGGUAACGGCUCACCAAGGCGACGACGGGUAGCCGGCCUGAGAGGGCGACCGGCCACACUGGGACUGAGACACGGCCCAGACUCCUACGGGAGGCAGCAGUGGGGAAUAUUGCACAAUGGGCGAAAGCCUGAUGCAGCGACGCCGCGUGAGGGAUGAAGGUCUUCGGAUUGUAAACCUCUUUCAGUAGGGACGAAGCGAAAGUGACGGUACCUAAAGAAGAAGCACCGGCUAGCUACGUGCCAGCCGCCGCGGUAA
rnacentral:rRNA from 1 species